AUUAUUAUUAUUAUUAUUAUUAUUAUUUUUAUUAUUAUUAUUAUUAUUAUUGUUAUUAUUAUUAUUAUUAUCAUUACUUUAUCUGUUCUUGUUAUUAUAAUCACUGUUGUGAUUAUUUCCUUUAUUAUUGCAUGAAUUAUUUCUAUUAUUUUUUUUUUACACAUUGAAACAUUUUCUCUAUUUUUUUUUUCAAUUGAAAUAAGAGUUUUUUUGAAAAACAUCUUUCUUUUUUACCAAAAAAUAACUUGAAGUAUCAACAAAGGAAACAUAAUGUUUAUACCUACACAAAACUGAUUUUUUUUUUUUAUUUUUUAUCAUUAACAAAUUUUCAAUAAACAAAAAAGGUUAAAAGAAAGUAGUAUUAAAACAAAAAAAACCAAGCAAAACAUAGUAAAGCAAAACAUAGUAAAGCAAAACAUAGUAAAGCAAAACAUAGUAAAACAAAGCAUAGUAAAACAAAGCAUAGUAAAAUAAAGUAUAGUAAAGCAAAUCAUAGUAAAGCAAAGUAUUGUUAAGCAAAACAAAACAAAGAAAAACAGAGCAAAACAAAGAGAGAAAGAAAAAAAAAAUGACGAAUCAAAAUAAAGAAAAAGAUAAAAAUGUGCGCUUAGAACGACACAGCGGAAAAAAAACACCUGCAUAUGGAGACUUAACCGUUCGUGAUGGAAGUGGAAAAUUCAAUUGGGGCAACAACUCAGACGCUUUAGUUAAUGAUUACAAUCCUACUGAUGAGAAAGAUCCCAUGUAUGACAGUGAAAUUGAAAAAAAAAAAAAAAAAAAAAAAAAAAAAAUCAGAUUACUACGUCUUUUCUACGUUUUUUUUAAACCUAUGUUAUAAAUACUCAACACGUAUGCAUAAGCAAAUAAGCACAUAUAUAGUAUAUUAAAAAUUGUUCAUAAUUCAGAUAAACUGAUAUAACCUCCUUCUAUAUUUUUAUUAUUUAAUAUAUAUAUUUUUUUUUCUGUUUCAUACUUUUUAAAAAACACGCUUAAAUAUUCAUCACAUAUGUAAACGUUAAUAAAUUGUUGUAUAACAAGAGGAUCA
rnacentral:lncRNA from 1 species